GCGUCACCUCCGGGCCGCCUGACGCCCCGCGCGCAUGCGCGCGGAGCCGAGCCAGGUGACGCCCGCGCACGCACGGCGGGGAGGCUGUGACGCAGGCGCGCACGCUCAGGGGGCGGAGCCGCGCCGGGCCGAGAGGCUGCGACCGCCGGGGAGGGCCAUGGCGAACCAGCAGCCUGUGGAGCCCACGGGUCAUACGUCCACCUCCCCAGACACUGCCAGGGCCCCGCUGCCAGGGCCCGGCCCCGCUGCGGCCCCCGCAGGGCCCAGCACCCACCCCGCCACCGGGCCUGGCCCCCACCUCGCCAUGGGGCCUGGCAGCCACCCCACCGCGGAGCCCGGCACACAUCCCACCACAGGGCCUGGCCCCCACCUCGCCAUGGGGCCUGGCAGCCACCCCACCGCGGAGCCCGGCACACAUCCCACCACAGGGCCUGGCCCCCACCCCGCCGUGGGGCCUGGCACCCACCCCACCGCGGAGCCCGGCACCCACCCCGCCAUGGGACCCGGCACCCACCCCGCCACCGGCCCGGGCACGGUGAGCGCUCCACUGGACGACGUGCGCUACAUGAUCGCCAGCACCAACUGGUACUAGCGGUGCCGCACAGCCCCGUGCCGUAGCCCCUUCCCUGCAGGGGAAGUCUGGGGGCUCAGCCGGGAGCCCGUGGGCGUGCAAAUGCUGUGGAGAGCUCCUUUGGAGUGGCCUUGCUUGGGUGCCACAGUGCUGUGCAUCCCGGGGGAACGAGGUGGUGUGUGACCCCAGCGAGCUUCUGCACCCGAUCACCCGUGGGGGCAGUUUCUCCUUUGCAGGACAGCCCUGUAAUGGAGCUGUUUUGGUUCAAUAAAAGCAUGCUUUCCUGGGA